rnacentral:lncRNA from 1 species
ACCGGGCUGGCUAAGGCCCGCGCCCGCCGAGGCCCGGAGAGGCCUCGGCCCGGCGGCGGGGGCGGCGGCAACGGUCAUGGCCGGGGGCCCGGGCCCCGGGGAGCCUGUGGUUCCCGGCGCCCAGCAUUUCUUGUACGAGGUGCCUCCCUGGGUUAUGUGCCGUUUCUACAAAGUGAUGGACGCCCUGGAGCCCGCCGACUGGUGCCAGUUCGGUGGGUGACGGCAGGCCGACGUGGGGCGGUGGACCCAGGCUUCUGGAGCUGAAGCCUGAUGUUCCCCGUCCCGCAGCGGCCUUGAUCGUGCGCGACCAGACAGAGCUGCGGCUGUGUGAGCGCUCCGAGCAGCGCACGG